rnacentral:rRNA from 1 species
ACGAACGCUGGCGGCGUGCUUAACACAUGCAAGUCGAACGGAAAGGCCCUGCUUUUGUGGGGUGCUCGAGUGGCGAACGGGUGAGUAACACGUGAGUAACCUGCCCUUGACUUUGGGAUAACUUCAGGAAACUGGGGCUAAUACCGGAUAGGAGCUCCUGCUGCAUGGUGGGGGUUGGAAAGUUUCGGCGGUUGGGGAUGGACUCGCGGCUUAUCAGCUUGUUGGUGGGGUAGUGGCUUACCAAGGCUUUGACGGGUAGCCGGCCUGAGAGGGUGACCGGCCACAUUGGGACCGAGAUACGGCCCAGACUCCUACGGGAGGCAGCAGUGGGGAAUAUUGCACAAUGGGCGGAAGCCUGAUGCAGCAACGCCGCGUGCGGGAUGACGGCCUUCGGGUUGUAAACCGCUUUCGCCUGUGACGAAGCGUGAGUGACGGUAAUGGGUAAAGAAGCACCGGCUAACUACGU